CUGGAAGUACUACAGGCAUAGAGGGAAGAGUACCUGUGUCUGUAACAACGUAAAAGGUCACAAGCUUCUGCUUUGCCAGUCUAGGUUCUGGAGGCCAGGAAGUCCAACAUGAAGGUGACAGCAGAUCCAGUGUCUGUACUUACACCUGGAGAGUUGGACUACUGGGUCGGAGUUGAAGAAAAUUUUACUUUUAAUUUUAUAACCUUUCCCAUUUUUUACCAUGAGCAUGUAACUUUUGUAACUACUUUUAUAAUAAAAUGAAAUAAAUGAAGUGGCACAGUGAAAUUUAAUAUAUGCUAUGUGAAUGAAUAAUAAACUAGGUAAGUUUCAUCAAAUGGGCAUAUGGGAAUAAAAGCCAGUUCUAAAGCAAUUACAAAGUAAUGCUGCUGAUAAAAGUGGACUGUGUAAAGGUAAACAGUGUCACAGCAACCAUUACACAUUGCAGGUUGACUCUCCAAUAUUCUUUCCCGUAGAUCCGAGGUCAAGUUUCAAACUGUCUAAACUAAUACAUGGUAAUGGCAUCCUUCUGCCAAAUGACUGGUUCAGGAGCUGCCAGCCCUAAGUUAAAGUUCUGGAAAUGCUGUGGAAAAUCUGAAAAUGUAAUGGGGAAUAAACAAGAGAUUAAUGAAAGCAUUGUAUCUAAUCAGCAAAC
rnacentral:lncRNA from 1 species